CCUCAUAAGUUGCCUUUGUAA
rnacentral:siRNA from 1 species